GGGCGGAUGGCGAAAUUGGCAGACGCGCUAGCCUUAGGAGCUAGUGAGGAAACUCGUGGGGGUUUCCCAAAGGGAUCGAGUUUGUGUAAAAACACACUUUUGUCACACUGAGCCUGCCUGUGCCGAAACGAAGCUUCGGCUUCGUGCCUGCACGCCAAAGUGCAUUUAUGUUUCGGCACGCAGGCGUGCAGGCAGGCGAAGCGAAGUGUCCCUUUCUAACGUGGAUUCUUCACUUCGUUCAGAAUGACUCGUAAAGAACUUGAGUUUUUACACAGUCUCGAUUACUUCGCGACGAAUCCCCCCUGCCCA
rnacentral:tRNA from 1 species